rnacentral:lncRNA from 1 species
UCCAUCCGGAAGAAUGGCUUUGUAGACGUCUCCAAAACCGCCUUUCCCGAUCAACCACUGGGGGUCGAAGUUGUUUGUAGCUCUCCGAAUGUCUGCGAAUGCAAUCUUCAAGCCUAAGUUUAGGUUGCGUAGUGGCGAGUUAUGGACCGGAUCGAAAGGUCUAUUGGUGCGUAAUGGCGAAUUAUAGACCGGAUCGAAUAGUCUAUUGUCGGAGCUCCCACCUCUGUACAGUUCCACAGGAGACCAUAUAGUGGCCUCCUCCUCUGGCUUCUUCUUCUUCUUCGAUCUCCUCCGUUUCAAGAAAAAAAUGGUAAACAACAAACUCAAAACCAGGAUAGAAACAGCAGCAACACAACCAAUAAUGAUGUGAACCAGGGAACUACUUUUAUGAUGACGCUGUGGACGGCGAGCUUAAGGUCGCGGAGGUUGAGAGGUGCAUUGAGGCUGUCACGGAAGGACCCGCCGCGGAGGAUAUGAGGAGGAGAGCGACAGAGCUGAAGAAUGCAGCGAGAUCGGCGUUGGAGCCUGGUGGUUCGUCGGCUCGGAAUGUGGACUUGUUCAUCGCCCAUAUCACAACCACCUGACUAUGCUUCUGCUUUGAUUUACUCUUUUUUAAACCGGCGAUAACCGGUUUUUUGUUUCAGCAUUUGAACCCAAUGUUCAUUAAAAUGAGUAAUUGAAUUUUAAUAAAAGUAUUAUAUUUUUUAAGUUUUUCCAAUUAGUUUGUCUCAAACAAAAUUCAGCUCAUGAUUUUACAAAAGUUGAACCAAGCGGUUACUAAAAUAAGUAACUGGAAUAUUAAAAUAUAUUAUGAAGUUUUUCCAAUAAUAAAAGAAGUUGGAGAAGGUGACUUUAAUCAAAUGGUCUAAUGUUCACUUUUGCGAACUUCUUCAUCCAGUUCGAUUCGACAAAACAAGUUUUCUACAUUGUAAGAUCGACCUUUAUCAAUCUAAUUGGUGAAAAAAAAUAGUGACAAUAGCUAAUUCUGUUAAACAGUUCAUAUUAUUUUUGUUAAAUAGAGUUCAUGAAAUAUAAUAACUAAAAUCAUUACAUUUGUGAAAGAAAAAAAAGACUCCAAUCAUUACACAAAAAAAGUUUUGAAAAAUAUUUCAUUACUUUUUAAAUCUAUUAGUAUAAUUUUUUAUCAACUUUUAAAUCUAUAAAAUUCCAAACGGACCAAUUGGAUAUGAUGAUUUCCAUACCGGUUAACCAGUAUGGACACGGUAAGUUUGGGAAACCCGGUUAACGCAAAGCCUUUUUUUAUCUUGCUUCAGAGAUCUUCAACUGGGAGAAAACCCGAGUCUCGGAUGAAUCUCCAUCGCUGCUCUUCUUCUGAACAAACGAGUUGUCGCUAAACGAAUCACUCACCAUCAACCUCGGAACCACCAACGAGUUUCCACCUCCAACGCCAGAGAUCGUCAUGGUGCUAUCCUCGUGAGGCUCUCUCUGAACCGGCGUCAUGUGAAGCUGCAGAACAUACUCAAGAUCCCAGAUCACGUCCCCCAUGCUCGGCCUCUCUUCGCCGCAGUCCCUUAAACACUUCUCAACAAUCUCCAUGAACUUCCUCAAAGAACUCGCCUCGAUUUGACCAAUCAGUUUCGUAUCUAAAACCUCGUCGACUAUCCCUUUCGAUAAGCAGAACAACGCCCAUUCCGCGAGGUUCACUUCCUCGUGCGGAAGAUCGUGCGCGAGAGCAGGUCUCGCGCACAGAACCUCGAGGAGUACGACUCCGAACGCGUACACAUCCGAUUUCUCCGUGAAGAUGUGCGUCUGCAGAUACUCCGGGUCGAGGUAACCGAACGUCCCUUUGAUGUUCAUGCUGAUAUUGACCGGAUCUUGUUCGCGGACCGCGAGUUUCGAGAGCCCGAAAUCCGCAACUUUGGCCACGUUGUUCUCGUCUAGUAGUAUGUUUGUUGAUUUGACGUCUCUGUGGAUGAUUCCUUCCGAGCCGCUGUGGAGAUAAUGCAAUCCUCUGGCUGCUCCAAUGCAUAUCUCUAGCCUCUGUUUCCACGUCAACGAAGGCAUAUCCGAGCCGUAGAGAUGCUCUUUAAGCGUACCUUUCUCCAUAUACUCGUAGACAAGGAUCAUCUCCGCGUUUUCGUCGCAGUAGCCUUUUAAAGAAACGAGGUGUUUGUGCCGGAUUCUUGACAAGACUUGGAUCUCCGUUUGAAACUCUUGUAUCCCUUGUCCUGAACCGGUCUUUGCUCUCUUGAUAGCUGCCCUGCUUCCAUCCGGAAGAAUGGCUUUGUAGACGUCUCCAAAACCGCCUUUCCCGAUCAACCACUGGGGGUCGAAGUUGUUUGUAGCUCUCCGAAUGUCUGCGAAUGCAAUCUUCAAGCCUAAGUUUAGGUUGCGUAGUGGCGAGUUAUGGACCGGAUCGAAAGGUCUAUUGGUGCGUAAUGGCGAAUUAUAGACCGGAUCGAAUAGUCUAUUGUCGGAGCUCCCACCUCUGUACAGUUCCACAGGAGACCAUAUAGUGGCCUCCUCCUCUGGCUUCUUCUUCUUCUUC